rnacentral:rRNA from 1 species
AACGAACGCUGGCGGCAUGCUUAACACAUGCAAGUCGAACGAGACCUCCGGGCUUAGUGCGCACGGGUGCGUCACGCGUGGGAACCUGCCCUUAGGUUCGGAAUAACUCCCCGUAAGGGGUGCUAAUACCGGCUAAUGUCUUCGGACCAAAGAUUUAUCGCCUUUGGAUGGGGCCGCGUUGGAUUAGGUGGUUGGUAGGGUAAAAGCCUACCAGGGCGACGAUUCAUAGCUGGUCUGAGAGGAUGAUCAGUCACACUGGGACUGAGACACGGCACAGACUCCUGCGGGAGGCAGCGGUGGGGAAUAAUGGAGAGCGGGCGAAAGCCUGAGCCAGCAAUGCCGCGUGAGUGAUGAAGGCCUGAGGGUUGUAAAUCUCUUUUGCCCGGGAUGAUAAUGACAGUACCUGGAUAAUAAGCCCCGGCUAACUCCGUG